UUAAAGCUGCGUUGUUCGUAUCAUAUUAAGUUUUAACCUUUAACUGUAAACAGGGAGUUUUAUAUUGAAGAUGGAAUGGCGAGCGUCACACUGCGGUGAAUGAUGAUAUACAGGAUAUCUUUUGCGAACACCCACUUUGAGGAGUGGUGGUUUAAAACUUUCUAUAAUUACUACGGCAAGGCGGCUUUGCC
rnacentral:other from 1 species